CAGACAGCUAGGAGGUCCUGGGAAGGCAGCGGGGCCCUGGUGGGGCUGCAGCCCAGGCAGUGUCUUCCACCAUCAGGGCAAAGCGUCUGCAGACUGUGGGAUGAACAGGGCAAGGAGAAGCGCUACAAGGAAGUGGAGGGACACAAGGGGUCCCCAGACAAGAAAGAAUUGCCACCUGCUCUGCACACGCCAUGGCAGCUCCACGGCUGGGCCACGCCAGAGAGGGUGGGAGGAGGCGGCUGUGUUCGCCCUGCCCAGAUGCCACUGGGAAGCACCACGGCCAUAACCAGACCCUCACUACCAAAGUUAAAUUGUUUUAUUACUUCAAAUAAAAUACUUUUAUUACUUCAGUAA